CCUACGGGUGGCAGCAGUGGGGAAUAUUGGACAAUGGGGGGAACCCUGAUCCAGCGACGCCGCGUGAGUGAAGAAGUAUUUCGGUAUGUAAAGCUCUAUCAGCAGGGAAGAAAGAAAUGAUGGUACCUGACUAAGAAGCCCCGGCUAACUACGUGCCAGCAGCCGCGGUAAUACGUAGGGGGCAAGCGUUAUCCGGAUUUACUGGGUGUAAAGGGGGCGUAGACGGCGAUGCAAGUCUGAAGUGAAAGGCGGGGGCUCAACCCCCGGACUGCUUUGGAAACUGUAUGGCUGGAGUGCAGGAGAGGUAGGUGGAAUUCCUAGUGUAGCGGUGAAAUGCGUAGAUAUUAGGAGGAACACCAGUGGCGAAGGCGGCUUACUGGGCUUUAACUGACGUUGAGGCACGAAAGCGUGGGGAGCAAACAGGAUUAGAUACCCCUGUAGUC
rnacentral:rRNA from 1 species